rnacentral:lncRNA from 1 species
CUGAAACACAGAUACCGAAGAAAUAAAAGAAACUGGCUCCACAGAGAUCAGGGCAAUAUUAAAGGAAGGACCCAUCUGGUUGUAGACCAAUACAUUCUCCACUGAGUAAGAAUUUUGAUGGUUUUAAAUUCUACAAAUGAAGACGACUUUAGUUGUUGUUUCUUUCCUCCAUGGGAAUACACGUGGGGAUCUUUUUGUGGCCAUUUACUUCUCCUUGCAAGAGAACAGUAUUCUUCACAGCAGAACAUUUAUGUGUCUGUAAGGCUUGUGUGGACGCCGUGC